GAAAAUGCAUUGUAGUGAUAUGCUGACAACUUUAUAUUUUGAUAUUCAUCCUCUUUUCUUUUGAAUAUCAAGUGUUGUGGUAAGGCCAGUUUCUAAAUAACCUUAUAUUUUGUAUCCUUUCAUGUGUUAUUUGAGUACAUUGGUUGUAGUUUCACUUUUCAACUUGUGGCCUUAAUCAUGUAUCAUUCAGAAGUGGCCAACAUCUAUGAAUACUGAAAAAUUUCAAAGUUUAGAUAUGGACAGAUGAUGGAUUUAAAACAUGAGUUAUAGUUCUUUUGAUACAAUUGUUUUAUAUUUAAUGACAUUCAAAAUUACUGGAUAAAUUGUUGUCCAUGUUUAUGUAAAGCUUUAUUGAAGAACUGGAAUAAGAUGUCCCUGGUCUGGUUGUACCAAAUAUGGCUAAGGCCAUGUAUGUAUGGCCUGUAGAAAUUCUUAAGUGCAUCCAGUAAUUCAAGCUUAUUAUAAUGCAUGUUAACACAAGGUGCUGAAUACUGGGAUAUUGAUUUCACAUUUUCUGAAGAUGAUAAACUUCAUGAGAAAAAUUGGUAUGAUUUGUGUGACUCUGAUCAAACAUUUACAUCAUAUUACCGGAAACUAUGGUUCAUGUUAAGUGCUAAAAUAACUUUGUGGAUAUUUUUAUUCCCCACCUACGAAAGUAGACGAGGCAUUGUGUUUUCUGCUCUGUGGUUCUGUUUGUCCUGUUUCACUUCAGGUUAAAGUUUUUGGUCAAGGUAGUUUUUGAUGAAGUCCAAUCAACUUGAAACUUAGUACACAUGUACAUGUUACUUGUGAUAAUUUUCUAAUUUUAAUGCUAAAUUCAAGAUUUGACCCCAAUUUCACAGUCCACUGAACAUAGAAAAUAUUAGUCGAGUGGUUCAUCCCUGUACUUUGGACACAUUCUUGUUUUGUAUCCAAGACUAAAAUAUCAAUACACAUCUAACAUCCUAUAAAAUUAUUGAAAAGACGCCAUUAACAGUCAAGAGAAAAAACAUGACCAUGUGCAACGCCAAAAUUUAGGUAUUGGCAGAUUGUCUGUGAACGCUCAAACAUCCCUCAUACGAAACAGUGGUGUGUCAGUAAAACAGAAAAAUGAAUUCUCAACGUCAAUAAGAAAGGGCAUCAAUAAUCAGAUCUGCAUCAAGCACACACAUUCCCAACAAUCGAAAACCAGAUAGAAGAGUACUCUCAAAAUCUAGAUCAAAGCCAAUUCAAACUAUUGAUAAAUCAUGUUUUCCCAG
rnacentral:lncRNA from 1 species